UACGGAGGGGGCUAGCGUUGUUCGGAAUUACUGGGCGUAAAGCGCACGUAGGCGGACUACUAAGUCAGGGGUGAAAUCCCGGGGCUCAACCCCGGAACUGCCUUUGAUACUGAUAGUCUCGAGUCCGGAAGAGGUGAGUGGAAUUCCGAGUGUAGAGGUGAAAUUCGUAGAUAUUAGGAAGAACACCGGUGGCGAAGGCGGCCUACUGGUCCGGUCUGACGCUGAGGCGCGAAAGCGUGGGGAGCAAACAGG
rnacentral:rRNA from 1 species